rnacentral:lncRNA from 1 species
CAGCCACAGUUUAUGGCAGACAACCAUUUUAAAUCUUACAAUAUCAACAUAUUUUAUCUUUUAAUAACCACAAAUAUAUAUCUUUUAAUACCACAAAUAUACACAAUUUAUCUUUAAAAGUUAAAGUAAGAAAGCUAAAGUUGAACCCCCCCCCCCAACAUAAAAGCCAACAGAUGACAUACAAAGGCUAGAAAUAUAGAGAUAUCUCAAAAAGUUUAGUAACUCAUAAAUCAUAUAAGGUACUGUAAAUGCCCCUAUAAAAUGAAGAGGAAAAAAGUCAGACUUCUUCUCUGGUUCCAAGGGAGGACCAAAAAAAUUAUAUAGGAUUUUCCAGGUGAGGGGUGGGGAGCCAAGACAUAGAAAGCAAAGAGGCUUAGGCUUCAAAUGAAGGGGGAAAAGGACAACUAAAAACCAAGGAAAGCCCUGCAGUCAUGACAGGAAAAGAAUUAGCAAUUUCCCACACUAACCCAGAGUCUCUGAGAAUUCAUUCUAACAGGUAGGUUAAUGCAAAAGGCAGCCAGAAGGAGUGGAAUUGCAGGGCUUUGAAAAAGAAACAACAUACUUUGGGAGUGGGGAUAAAUCUAACCUUUGUACGAAUAAAAAUAAAAUAAAAAAUUAUUGGAAAAAACAUUCUACACCUUUCUUGUUUGCGUAUGCGAUAGAUAUUGCCUAUAACAUCUUCCUGGGGUGUUUUUCAAUUUUACUAAUCUCUUCUGGUUCUGCGACAGUUCACCCCAAUAUAGCUAGUGAAGUCACGACUGCAGGAGUCAUAUGCAGGCGCCUCCACUGCAGCCCCAGCUCCUCAGGGGACCUCCAGGGGGCGCCGCUCCGAGAGCACGUUCUCACCUCUGUCAGGGCUCUUCUUGCUGAGUCUUUCCUCUGGCGCUCUCAGGUCCUUCCGUCUCGUCUGAGAACGGGACUCUCCUGGGCAGAGGGCCCAGGCCUGACAAGGGGUCCAGGGGAGCUGAUGUCAGCCCCGGGGCCUUCGAGGCCCCCUUCCUCCAGAUUCACCCUCUUACCGGAAGGAUGGAAGGUGCGAGAGGCUGCGGGGAUCAUCAAAGGAGAAGAAUCUGUAGGCCAUUAUGGUGCAGUUUGGAGACUAUUAUUGAAAAACAAAAGGAAAAUAAGGCUUUUUCUUUUUACUGUUCUUAUGUCUCUUCACUAUCCAAGAUAGCCCUUCAGAAGCAUCUGCUACAUAGAGGAAACUAUGAAAGGAAUGAUAAUUCCUUGGAAGACUGAUGCCAGAUUGUAGUCAAUCCAGAAGAGGACUCAAAUUUUUGAUAUAAAACUAGGGUUCAUAGGAGAAAAUUCUCUUCCCCAAAAAGUGUAUCCAUCAUUGAUCAGCUGUUGAGAUCAUUCUGAAAGAAUGCUUUGAAGGAACAGAAAUUACAGAUACUCAGUCCUUUGAGGGAAAUGAACUAGCGUGCAUCUUUCAUUUACAGGAUGAUUACAAUAGACAAUUACUAUUAUUUGGUCUUCUGCAGUAUUUUUUUUCACUUUAGAGAUCCUCAGAGAACAUGCUCAACAUGGAGUUUUAACUUCUACUUUAAAAAGAAAAGAAAAGAAAAACAAACUAACAAGUGAAAGAAGUAAUACCUAGCAAAAUUGAGGCCAAAAUGAAGAAAGUGAGACUCUAAGCCAGCAAGAUAAGAUCAUCCUGAGAAUUUAGGAAGCCUGGGUUAAAAAAAAACCAAGAGGGUAAGCAUUAAGGAGUAGACCAAAGUAAAGAAACAUCCUAGAGAUUUCACACUAGAAGAUACUCCACAGUUCUUUAGGCUAGAAAGAGUCAGUUGGAAACAGCCUUAGGAAAGAGAAAUAUACUUUAUCUAUCACAGUGUCACCAAUUUAGUCAUAUUGUAAGUAACAUUAUAGACCAGGGCUGCUUGGGUCCCCAUAGCUCACAUGAAUGUAAAAUAGUUGUUGAUCAAUUAUGUGCAAAUUAAUGUGCUAAGUUCAAGGGACACCAAGAGAAAACUGAGAUAGUCCCUGCUCUCAAAAAUUCACAUUCUUGUAUAAGGAAGCAUAUUGGAGGGUUCCUCCUUUGAUAUCAUUUGCUUGUUCUUGUUUGAUUAGACCAAAACAUAGAGACAAGCAAGCAUAUGGUGGAACCAACCAAUAAGAGAGGAUGGGAAGUCAAAGGGAAUUUCUGUUCCAGAAAAUGUGUUUAUCAUGAGGCCCUUCUAUGAUCACAUUAGCUAAUAAAAUGAAUUCUAAUACUUACUAAUAUAUAAAA